UACAGGGGGGGCAAGCGUUGUUCGGAAUUACUGGGCGUAAAGGGCGCGUAGGCGGGCGGACAAGUCUCUCGUGAAAGCCCACGGCUCAACCGUGGAAUUGCGGGAGAUACUGUCUGUCUUGAGUCCGGGAGAGGAGGGUGGAAUUCCCAGUGUAGCGGUGAAAUGCGUAGAUAUUGGGAGGAACACCGGUGGCGAAGGCGGCUCUCUGGACCGGUACUGACGCUGAGGCGCGAAAGCUAGGGGAGCAAACGGG
rnacentral:rRNA from 1 species